GUUUCACAAGAAACUACUCAAAAUUACAACACAAUAAAAACCCGUCUUGUGAAACUACUAUACUAAAAGAACAAUGUAGAAUAACUUUCAAAAGCAAGCCCAAACAGGACUGAAUUCAGCAUCCUCUUCAACAUUAACCUACAACUACUGCAAUUUUAUGGACACAUAUAAGUCCAAAGUUUGAGCACCUAAUAUAAUACACAGAAUGCAUUCACAUAGAAGGGAGAAAACACACACACAAAAAAAAAAACGUUGGAGGCCUUAGAAGAAGAACAAACAGAAGGAAAGGAGAGAGAACUCAAGAGUUUCUUUGGCUAAUAUUUCACAACAACAUGAAAGUCACCCGAGACGAGAAAGAGAGGAAGAAUACGAAUCUAUAAUGACUGAGUCAACAACCAUAAUUGGAACAAGAGAUAGUGAAAAGAUCACUGGCAUUGAAAAUGUGCAACAAACUUACCAUACAGAAGAGCAUAGGCUUUUAUUUUGGUCAAAAUGGAGACUUAACAGAAAAUUCUUGAGACACUUCAAGUAUACUUUUAUUUAUUUAUUGACAAGUUGAAAUUGAAUUUAUUUUGAUUAA